rnacentral:rRNA from 1 species
UACAGAGGGGGCAAGCGUUAUUCGGAAUUAUUGGGCGUAAAGGGCGUGUAGGCGGCCUGGCAAGUGGAAGGUGAAAUCCCUCGGCUUAACCGAGGAACUGCCCUCCAAACUGCUUGGCUUGAGUCCGGGAGAGGUGAGUGGAAUUCCCAGUGUAGCGGUGAAAUGCGUAGAUAUUGGGAGGAACACCAGUGGCGAAGGCGGCUCACUGGACCGGAACUGACGCUGAGGCGCGAAAGCGUGGGGAGCAAACAGG